AAUCUCAAAAUAAUUCUUUAAAAUUACAAGCACAUACGCCAAAAUCAAUAUGCCUCUUCAUCUACUUGAGCUCCGCACAGGUGUGCGCAUAAUCAUAAAGCCAACGGGCCGCUCUCAACGAUUUUGUGCACUUUUAUGCGGAACGGACACGUCAAAGGCCGCCUUUAAUGUUUUAGCACCUUUUGUGCUGUUUAUUCUAUUAUUUAGUUGUUUAUCAAUGUUUCAGGAUCGCUGCCAAGCCGAGCCGCACAGCAAUGGGACAGCAGCUCAGGCACUGCGUGUAGGAGUCGGGCUCGUUGUUGUUGCCCGUUGGUGCAAUUCGUGUUUUGAUUUAGUGCCAAUUUCGAGCAGAAAAAUUGUUCAAUGCCUCUGGGGCAAAGUUAAGUUAAAAAACAGAGAAAAAGAGAACAAGAAAAACACACGCAGAUUACAGACGGAAAUUGAAGCGGCUCGAGAUGCCAGUUAACAAGCGAGAGAACAAUAACAACUGAGUCACCCGAGGGUCAGAUUCUUGUGUUGUGUUGUGUUGUGUUGUGUCUGUGGCCUGUGGCCUGUGCGUGUCGCUCGAUGGCAGCCAGGCAACAACACCUUGCCGAGUGGACCCCAAGAAGUUAAAUGCUUGCCAGCGACUUGCUCAAUUUAAAGAACUUUUAUUUGAUCGCUUAGGCGCUCGCAUUUUGGGAUAUAUUUCCUUGUGGCUUAUCCAGCAUCUGGCGAUACCAAUCGGAUAUGAAUGUCUGCUCGUUGCGCUCCGCAAUCAGGCUGAAUGUAAGUACGCCGGGACGGGCAAUAUAAUCGAACUGAUACACCGCAUUGGGAUUGUCCAGUUCCAUGACCUUGCGCAUCUGCAGCAGUAGAAAGUGCAUACAAUCGAUGCACUUCUCGCAGGACCAAUUCUUGACCUGCAGGUCGAAGUAGCUCCAUCAGCAGAGUAAAUAUGAUUUAGCCGCAUAACUUACAUUAUCUCGCAUGAGUGUGGCCAAGGUGCACUUGUGGAGUUUGUGAACAAGUCCAGAGUUUUUGGGUCGAGCUAUGUAAAUAUCGUUGACAUCCUUCAAGUAGCACUCGAACCACCAGCUCAAGGCAUCCACUGGCCUUGGCUUGAACCUAGGCGGCUGAAUUACUUUGCAUUCCACAAAGGUGCCUGACCACGUGUCUGGUGCGCUAAAGGCAAUAGAAAAUUUGACAUUUGAGUGGUACUUGAAGUACAGUAAAUACGCACUCGAAAGGCUGAACACGAUGCCCACCCAUGCUGGAGGCAUAGACCACGGCCAGUUCGCCAAUGUUGCGGCUGAAGACACCAUAGAACUCUCCGCUAGGACUGCGCGCAUUGGGCGGCAAAUGGGGCGUGUCUGUAAUCUCAAAGUGUUGAACUAUCGCCUGUGCCUGUCAUUGUACUGCAUUGCGUUUACCUGAAUAUAUCAAAUGCUUCAGUUUA